rnacentral:misc_RNA from 1 species
GAUGAAGAACGCAGCGAAAUGCGAUAAUUAAUGUGAAUUGCAGAAUUCAGUGAAUCAUCGAGUCUUUGAACGCACACUGCGCCCCCUGGUAUUCCGGGGGGCAUGCCUGUCCGAGCGUCAUUGCUGCCCUCAAGCCCGGCUUGUGUGUUGGGCCUCGUCCCCCCUCCGGGGGACGGGCCCGAAAGGCAGCGGCGGCACCGUGUCCGGUCCUCGAGCGUAUGGGGCUUUGUCACCCGCUCUGUAGGCCCGGCCGGCGCCUUAGCCGACGACACAAUCUUUUUUUUCAGGUUGACCUCGGAUCAGGUAGGGAUACCCGCUGAACUUAAGCAUAUCAAUAAGCGGAGGA